ACAUAGCAGUCGAGCGGACUACUGAAAAGCUUGCUUUUGAGUAGUUAGCGGCGGACGGGUGAGUAACACGUGGGCAACCUGCCUGUAAGACUGGGAUAACUUCGGGAAACCGGAGCUAAUACCGGAUAAUACAAGGAACCUCCUGGUUCUUUGUUGAAAGAUGGUUUCGGCUAUCACUUACAGAUGGGCCCGCGGCGCAUUAGCUAGUUGGUGAGGUAACGGCUCACCAAGGCGACGAUGCGUAGCCGACCUGAGAGGGUGAUCGGCCACACUGGGACUGAGACACGGCCCAGACUCCUACGGGAGGCAGCAGUAGGGAAUCUUCCACAAUGGACGAAAGUCUGAUGGAGCAACGCCGCGUGAGCGAUGAAGGCCUUCGGGUCGUAAAGCUCUGUUGUUAGGGAAGAACAAGUGCGAGAGUAACUGCUCGCACCAUGACGGUACCUAACCAGAAAGCCACGGCUAACUACGUGCCAGCAGCCGCGGUAAUACGUAGGUGGCAAGCGUUGUCCGGAAUUAUUGGGCGUAAAGCGCGCGCAGGCGGUUUCUUAAGUCUGAUGUGAAAGCCCACGGCUCAACCGUGGAGGGUCAUUGGAAACUGGGGAACUUGAGUGCAGAAGAGGAGAGUGGAAUUCCACGUGUAGCGGUGAAAUGCGUAGAGAUGUGGAGGAACACCAGUGGCGAAGGCGACUCUCUGGUCUGUAACUGACGCUGAGGCGCGAAAGCGUGGGGAGCAAACAGGAUUAGAUACCCUGGUAGUCCACGCUGUAAACGAUGAGUGCUAAGUGUUAGAGGGUUUCCGCCCUUUAGUGCUGCAGCUAACGCAUUAAGCACUCCGC
rnacentral:rRNA from 1 species